UCCCUGGUAGUCCAGUGGUUAGGACCCUGCAUUUUCACUGCUGAGGGUGUGUGUGGGUUCAAUCCCUGGUUGGGGAA
rnacentral:tRNA from 1 species